UACGUAGGGCGCAAGCGUUAUCCGGAAUUAUUGGGCGUAAAGCGCUCGUAGGCGGUUUGUCGCGUCUGCCGUGAAAGUCCGGGGCUCAACUCCGGAUCUGCGGUGGGUACGGGCAGACUAGAGUGAUGUAGGGGAGACUGGAAUUCCUGGUGUAGCGGUGAAAUGCGCAGAUAUCGGGAAGAACACCCAUGGCGAAGGCAGCUCUCUGGGACGGUACUGACGCUGAGACGCGAAAGCGUGGGGAGCGAACAGG
rnacentral:rRNA from 1 species